rnacentral:lncRNA from 1 species
UAGUAUUAUUAUUAUUAUUUUUAUUGUUAUUAUUAUUCAGAGAGUGAGAAAAGUCUUCAACAUCUUGUGAAACAGUUCAGAGGAAUAGGACUGAGUAUGAAUACAGGGGAAAGAAAGUAUUGAACAAAAAAUAUCUAUAACAAUAAGUUAUUUCUUAUCUUUUAAAAAUAGAUAUGUAAGAAGCUCUUCUUGUUCGUAUACAGUAUCAGAAAUGGUACUUACAAGAACUUGAGGAGGCAUUUCCUUCAAAAUGGAAUAAAACCUAGGGUUCAUGGGAACACUGGUCGCAUUCCUUGUCAUGCUGUUUCUGUGGAAGGCAUUAAAGAUGUGGUAGCAUUUUUGGAGAACUAUGCUGAAGACUACACCAUAGUACUACCUGGGAUGAUACCUGGAGUGAGGGAUUAUGGGAAGGCCAAGCUAUUGCCGUCCAGUGUGUCCCGACACAAGGUUUACCGGCAGUAUGCUGAUGCUGGUAGGGAACAUACUCUCUGUGAAAGUCCUACUUGUGCAAAUAGAGUAUCGAAGAGUAAAAUUAAAAGCGCAUUCUCUAUCUCA